rnacentral:lncRNA from 1 species
AAUAUUACUGUAAGUCAUGGCCAACCAGAUGAGAAUGAAAUAGCUUUAAAAAAUUUUAGCGCUUGCCAAUCCCGGGUGAACAUUCUCAUCUACCAAGUAUUCGGGAACGAGCUCAAUUCUGGCUGCGAACUGAAUUACACAAGAGAUAUAUGUUUUGAUCGAUGCAACGCCCCUUUCACACGAAAAAUACCUAAUCUUUUUGACGAUCCCCGCUCCGAUUCGUAUCGCCGCAACCCUUGGCUCAGCCUAAGACUGUAAACUGAUAAUGCAUUGAGCAUGUCGUUAUCUGCUGGCGCGAUACCGCGAUGCUGGACUUGUAACGCAUAUGUUGCGCAAGAAACACGACGCGUCGUAUCGCCUGAUUUUCCGUCCCUCGACUUUAUUCAUCUCUAGACGCCUGCGGUCAGUUUUGGGUCAUUUGAUUUAUUCGGCAGUUAUUAUAUGAACUCCAUUUACAGCAUUAAUGAUAGCUCCAAGUGUAGAAGCCGUGAACGUGAUGCGAGCACGUGCCUUUCUCGUUCUGAUGCGUUAUCACGCCGUUUCUGUUGCGUCUUUUAUUGUAGCGAUGCGUGUCCACGAAUUAUUUUUACAAUUAUAAAUGCGUGGCCUUAACUUAUGUCGGGGAGUCUCGAAGUGCACAAUUAAAAAAGCAAUUUACGGUUGAAAAAACUCGGGAGCUAGACGCUAUAAGUAGAACGGCGCGAUGCACGAUUUACGGUUUUAAUUUUUGCUAAUUGGUACACAUUUUUUUUAUGAUCACGCUCAUAGGCUUAUCACUGGAAAAAUGUUUUUAUUUUUAUCAACUCAUACCAUACAUAGGUAUACGAGUGUAUCGAAUUGCCAUGUACACAUGGACAAAUCGACGAAAAGUAUUUUGCAUCCAUAUUCUUCGCCUAAUUAGAGUAAGCUAAAGUUUACGAUUAUGUUUAAUGCAAAACUAGAGGAGAUUGAAUGUAUAUGCUAUACACCAAAUCACAUCAAAUUUAAUUUUUGCUCAUUAUAGAAUAUUUUCCAUUUUUCUUUCACGUCAAAAUAUACGACUGCGGAAAUUGCUCGAAUACCAUUCUGCUCGUGACUGGGUCUGACAGCUCGGCAUCCGCCGAAUCUUGUCAGGCCGAGCAAUUUUGCUGUGUAUGUAAAAUAAUUACUGCGUGACUAUUGCCAAUUUUUCGGUAAUUCCUCUAGACUUGAAUAUAAUACAAUCUGAGUAUGAAAUCGGCUUACUUCGUUGGAGUCUAUCCGAUCAGGUUUCACUGCAUGCUAAGAAUUGCGUAAUUAUCAUACAUUAUGGACUUAAUUUAAUUCCAUCCUAUAUCAAUAGGAUAAUAAAUUAAGUUGUUAAUUGAACAAUUCAGUUAUAAUUCAGAUACAUUUGCAAUACUUGAAUUUCAAACGUGUUUCAGUUACAGUAAUUGUUAAAUGAAGUCAAUAAUUCAAGCAAGAUAAAUUUAAUUGGGAUAUCAUUAAUUAAUUGAUUAAGUGGAUUCGAGGUGAUUCCAUUAUAUCAAUCGGAGAACGAUUAAAUAAUCGUGGUAUUUGGGUGAUUCCGUAGCUCACUGAACGUCUUGUAUAAUAUAUAUGGAUAUUAAUCUUACUUAACAUUAAGAAUUCUAUAAAAACUCAUUUAUUGCCGUAAGACUCAUAAAUACUUUUUUAUGCAGGAAAAAAUCAUCUUCCAACAACAAGUCAAUCAAGACUGGCUGACGUCGAAUCGCCUGAUUAUUGUUUAUGAAUUGUCUCGCGAACUGCGAUGGUUAUACUCCUUGUUAUUGGCCACCAGUACGAACUGCGGCCAAGUGUCUCUGUACGUCGCACUACAGGUUGCAGAUUAAUUCUAUCUCUAUUUCUCGCUCUGAUUUUCAAUGCUAGCAAACAAUAACGGAAUAUGGCCUGCACGCUCCAAGCAUUGGGAAAUUUCCCUGCUAUAAAAAGACCAACUAGUCAAAUUACAUACGUAGCAAUUUUUUGAAACAAUGAUUCAGUUUACGAUAAUUCUAUCUAUGCAUGUCUUUAUACGAAUAAAAUUAUUUUGGGGCGAUUAUUUGAACUGUUGACUUUGUUUAACAUUAGACGAUAAAUAUUGAUGAUUAACAAUAAAAGUAUGUCAAAGGAUAAGUUGAACGGGAACUCAAAAACCGUUACACCGAUAAAGAAUUUUUGAAGUCUUUCCAGUCUUAUCCCACAUGAGAAGAAAAGAAAAACCAUUACCUCGAAACCACAUGAGGUUUGUUUGGAAAAUUUAUUAUAGUCUCCAUGCUCUAUAAACUUGUACUAUUUUUCUUUUUAUUACUGCUAUUAGCAGAACUAGUCUGAAAAUUCAUCUCGACCGACAAGAUGACGGGUGUCAAUUGGAUUUAGUGCUAUUUAAUGUUCCUUACAAUAAACAUAACACGGCACAAUAGAGGACAUCAAUUCGUCUUGUAGAAUUUUUAAUCCAACCAAAGAAUAUUUACAUAUUGUAUAAAUUAUACUGUACAUAUGUAACGCAGAUGUAUUUCUUUCUAAAAUUGAAGCUACACGUAAGAAAAAAGAAUAAAAGAUACAACUGAUAUAUAUAUAUAUAUAUAUAUAUAUAUAUAUAUAUAUAUCAUUAUCUUAUUGCCAAAUAACUGAAACGAAUCAAUGACCCCGAGAAAUUUGUUGAGUGUACAUGCCGUGAUUAUCACAGCCUAGGCAAACGUCACACAA